rnacentral:rRNA from 1 species
AGAGUUUGAUCCUGGCUCAGAUUGAACGCUGGCGGCAUGCCUUACACAUGCAAGUCGAACGGCAGCACGAGAGCUUGCUCUUGGUGGCGAGUGGCGAACGGGUGAGUAAUAUAUCGGAACGUACCCUAGAGUGGGGGAUAACGUAGCGAAAGUUACGCUAAUACCGCAUACGAUCUACGGAUGAAAGUGGGGGAUCGCAAGACCUCAUGCUCAUGGAGCGGCCGAUAUCUGAUUAGCUAGUUGGUGGGGUAAAAGCUCACCAAGGCGACGAUCAGUAGCUGGUCUGAGAGGACGACCAGCCACACUGGAACUGAGACACGGUCCAGACUCCUACGGGAGGCAGCAGUGGGGAAUUUUGGACAAUGGGCGCAAGCCUGAUCCAGCAAUGCCGCGUGAGUGAAGAAGGCCUUCGGGUUGUAAAGCUCUUUUGUCAGGGAAGAAACGGUGGACUCUAAUACAGAUCACUAAUGACGGUACCUGAAGAAUAAGCACCGGCUAACUACGUGCCAGCAGCCGCGGUAAUACGUAGGGUGCAAGCGUUAAUCGGAAUUACUGGGCGUAAAGUGUGCGCAGGCGGUUGUGCAAGACAGAUGUGAAAUCCCCGGGCUCAACCUGGGAAUUGCAUUUGUGACUGCACGGCUAGAGUGUGUCAGAGGGGGGUAGAAUUCCACGUGUAGCAGUGAAAUGCGUAGAGAUGUGGAGGAAUACCGAUGGCGAAGGCAGCCCCCUGGGAUAACACUGACGCUCAUGCACGAAAGCGUGGGGAGCAAACAGGAUUAGAUACCCUGGUAGUCCACGCCCUAAACGAUGUCUACUAGUUGUCGGGUCUUAAUUGACCUGGUAACGCAGCUAACGCGUGAAGUAGACCGCCUGGGGAGUACGGUCGCAAGAUUAAAACUCAAAGGAAUUGACGGGGACCCGCACAAGCGGUGGAUGAUGUGGAUUAAUUCGAUGCAACGCGAAAAACCUUACCUACCCUUGACAUGUCUGGAAUCCUUGAGAGAUCAGGGAGUGCUCGAAAGAGAAUCAGAACACAGGUGCUGCAUGGCUGUCGUCAGCUCGUGUCGUGAGAUGUUGGGUUAAGUCCCGCAACGAGCGCAACCCUUGUCAUUAGUUGCUACGAAAGGGCACUCUAUGAGACUGCCGGUGACAAACCGGAGGAAGGUGGGGAUGACGCCAAGUCCUCAUGGCCCUUAUGGGUAGGGCUUCACACGUCAUACAAUGGUACAUACAGAGGGCCGCCAACCCGCGAGGGGGAGCUAAUCCCAGAAAGUGUAUCGUAGUCCGGAUUGUAGUCUGCAACUCGACUACAUGAAGUUGGAAUCGCUAGUAAUCGCGGAUCAGCAUGUCGCGGUGAAUACGUUCCCGGGUCUUGUACACACCGCCCGUCACACCAUGGGAGCGGGUUUCACCAGAAGUGGGUAGCCUAACCGCAAGGAGGGCGCUCACCACGGUGGGAUUCGUGACUGGGGUGAAGUCGUAACAAGGUA